rnacentral:lncRNA from 1 species
ACCUCGAGGCAGCUCGUCCGCCUGUGAGGCAGGAUUUCCGAGGAGCCCACUAGGUGGUGCGUGAGCUGCGGCGAUGGUGACCAGCUGUGCUGGACCAGUCACCGCCCGCCUCCCAGGACCCCCCUCAGGCCAGAGGCCCCCAGCUCACAAGCCGGCCCUGAAUCAUCCCUGUUCCUGGGCCCGUCUCCACGUUCUUCCUCUGGGAAAGCAGGGCCCAGGCUUCUGCUCCCUCUUCAAUACAGCACACAUGAACACUUUGGGAGUGUCGCCUUAAAAAUAAAAAACACAACGUGAGAGUUGAGAGUUAAGUUUUACUUGGGACAGAAUGAGGACUAGAACCUGGGUGGCAGCAUUCAGAGAGACCCGAGAAACUACUCCAAAAAACUGGGACCUCAGUGAGUCCGGACACCAGGCCAAGUGUGGAAAAGAAAGGAAGAAGCAAGAGAGGAGGCAUCCGUUGAUGAACUUCAGAUGCCAAGAUAAAGGAGACUUGCUUUUCGACGAGAUGACACUGGCCCUGCUGGUCGGGCUUCCGGGGAGAGGAGGUCUGAACUGCUCGGCUGCUGUCUACUGGCUGAUAAUGGGAUGAAAACAACACACAUCAAACAGUGAGCGGGGCUGUUAACAAGGUAGCCCUUCCUGGGAUCCUGGCGCCUUCAUCCAGUCAGGCCGGUGCCUUGAGCACCCACCCAAAAGUGGCGAGGGGAGUUCCUUGGGACCCUUCAAGUCCUAGCGUGUGGGUGAGAGCCCCCGGCUCCGGGAACGGCAAGCGGCAGGUAAGUCUUCCUGGAAGGCGCCGUCCCCCUCUCCGGGCUGGCUCUGCAGCCUUUCCCUCGGAGUCGCAGUCUAGGAAGCAGGCUCCUCGCUAAGUAUUUGGCAUUUGAUCCUCAGAACGGUCAUCUUGCCGGAACUCGGCCUCUGUUCGCUGGUGCUCAAUAGAAACGCGGAGACGGAGCUUUGGAUGAAGUAGAGAAGGCAGGCCUGAUUGCUUUGCCAGGAAGGGGGGGCCACAGCGGGCCAGGGCCCUCGGAACUUUUGGGGGGGCGGUGAGGAGUCUCACAGUGUCAAGGAGCAGAGCAUGGCCAGCUCGUGGGCGUUCUUCUGAUGGGUGGGUGGUGAGGUCACGGGGAGUCCGCGCCGUCACCCCUCUGGUUCCAGUUGGUCUGGGGUCUCCGUGCUUGUGGGCAGCACAUGGUUGGCUUCCUCCCCGUGGCGGGGGUGAACCGCUCCGAGGACAUGGCUCAGAAUAGUAUCUCUGGUCUUUGAGAAAGAAUGUAAGGUCCUUGACUUUGUUGAGUGGCUAAAGUAUUAUUUUGUCUUGCUGGACUGCUUUUCCUUUCGCUUUGCAUUUUCUCACGUCUCUGAUUAAGUUUGAUUUUUUGGACUAAAGUUUUUCUACAGACCAAAGGCAGGCAGAGGACCUGGGGGCGGGGGCGGGAUCUGUUCUGGGAAGGCCCCAUAGCGUCCGGCUCGGUUACCCUAAAGAGAGGUAUUUUUUCCCCAUUUGACAGUUGGGAGAAGGGAACCCCAACAGCAAAAAUGUCUCAGGAGGACUCAGGCCUCCUGAAACAGCAUGGCCCCUGCUGCCCCUGUGGCUUUUCUGAAGAUGCAGCCCAGUUGAGUCUGAUUUGCUGAUUAUUGCAGACCUCUGGGCAUGAAGCUCUGAAAUCGAGAAGCGGGUGUGGCUGGUGAUGAACAGGUAAACCGCACAGUCAGCUCAGCUCAUGGAGAGUCCAGUGUCUGUUGUUGUUGCUGUCAUCCUCUGGGGAAGCCAGUUUUUAGUGCUCAAAGUUUAGUAAAACAAUUUCCUACACUCGUUUAAUCAUUUCCACUUUACAAACAAACUGAGGUUUCAGCAUACCAGGGGACUUGUCCUGGCUGAUUCUGCAGGUUACGGGGAGCCAGGACUUCUGACCCAAGUCUGGAGGGAUGCUUCUCUGGCUUGGAGGAUCAAUGAAAAAUCAAAUCUGAGUUGUUCCACUGAGGUGAUGGAGUGUGCGAUUACUACAGCCUCUUAGAUAUUUAAAAUCGUAUGUUGCAAAAGACCAGUCCUACCCAUUUGCUGGGUGAGCGGGUGUUGGUACCACAAGCCAUCCUCAUACUUAAGCACAGUGGAUUGGAACGUACGGCAAAUAAACAGCGUUUUUUCCUGGCUCAGUGAGGGUAACGGCUGCUUUUGAAGAAUUAUUGCAGGUGUUUCUAGGCGAUGAAUAAAGUUACUGAGGUCGUGCAGGUGGAGCAUCUAGGCAUGGAAUUUAGAAAUUUCAAGAACUCGAAAAUUUUCCUUCCACCCCCUCCAGCUCACACAGUGAACGUGAUUAAGCGCUUCACGGGGUGGGACCCUGCGGAGGCCACCGAGGUGGGCGACACGGCUCCCCUCCCAGACCCCAUGUGGUCGGGAAACUGCACUGAAGGGCUCUGGCCGCACUGCAGAGGGUCUCACGGUGUCCAGCGGGCCAGCUCCCAGGGGACCUAACGGAAAGAAGAAUGGACGGAUGAAAAUCCGAAAGUCCCCAGGCCGUCCUCUCCCCACAGCCCGUCUGGAGGCACCCCAGAGGCCGACUGACUCUUUGCCUCUAAAUAUUUCAUCUGUGUGGCAACGGGACAGACUCAGGUGAGAAAACUGGAGUCAGUGUCACAGGGCCAACUUGGGCAGCCCUUUGGCGAGGCCACCUGCUUGAGCAGCCGGACGAUGGUAGUUAGGGAGGUCAGACGCCUCAUCUAAGCCCUCGCUUGGCCGCUUAUGGUCUGCCCUCCGUUGUGUUGCUUUAUCAACCUGGACCUCAGUUCGCUCAUCUUUAAAAUGGGGAUACAGGAGUCCCUGGUGGCUUAGUGGUGCAUGGCUUGACUUUUGUCACUGCUGUGGCUCUGGUUGCAUCCCUGGCUGUGGAGUUUCUGCAUGCCACAGGCCCAGCCACAUACAUUUAAAAAAUAAAUAAAAUUGGGAUAUGAACAGCCCGUAGCUCAAAGGAACUGAAAAUCAAAUAGCGAGCCAAGUGUGGCAGAAUUCCACUUUCCUUGUCCACAUGAUGCAUAGAUAAUAGUUGUCUUACUUUCUAUCAUAGGAUGAUGCUGAGGGGCCAGGAAAAAAAAAAAAA